CACCUUUCAUUCAAUUUCCUCAUCAAUCCUAACGUCACCUCCAUUGCUGACCACCAAGUGUCACCAUCUGCUCUCUCCUGUUCUUCUCUUUGCACUUUUGUCGACUUCAUAGUUGUGUCCAGUGACCAGAAACAGAUUCUCUCGGAUAUAUAAAAGCUAUACCAACGAGAGCAUCGAUCAUCACUUUCUGUAAGAGACAAGUUCGAUCUUCCAACUGUUGGAUUGUGUUCAGGUACUACGGAUGCCCCAUUUUCUCUGUCUUUGAUGAUUCUUUUUGUCAUGUUCAUCUGCAGUUCAAGGUAGCUGGUGACUAUUCAGUCGUAAUGUAAUUUAGGUAGAGGGGAUCUUUCCAGAUGGAACAAAAUUAAUCACCAUCCAUGACCCUAUAGCAUGUGAAAACGGAAAUCUGGAUCUUGCUCUGCACGAUUCUUUCCUUCCUGGCAAUCAUCUCAUAUACUGUUUUUAGUAUCUUCAACUGUAAUUUUCUUUCAUUUGCAAGAAGUGUGGUUUCACUCUUCUCUAUAGAAAUAAAUCUUAUGGAAGAGGUACUCUUUGUACAUAAAUUGUGUUGCAAACUUGGUUAGCAGUAUCUUCUUGUGAAAUUCUCACGAAUGCACAUGGUGCAUUGCUACUUAUUCUUAGCAUUAUACAUUUGUAGUUCAGUAAAUAAAUAUUGCUACAAUUGUUAAAGUAUGCAUUUUGGAGAGUGUUAAAAGAGAGAGAAACAUAUUAUGAGAAAUCACAACUUUAAUCUUUGAGGCAUCAUCAUAGAUGGACUAAUAUUGCUGGAAUUUGGAACCCGCCAUAGCGAUUUUUCGAAUUAUUUUUUCCUCUCAUUUGUGAUAUACAUUUA